rnacentral:lncRNA from 1 species
CAAAGAGAGAGAGAGAGAGAGAGAGUGAGUCGGGCAUCUUUUUUGCAGUUCUUCCAUACAGGCGUAAUUUUUGGGUUUCUUUUUGGCACACGUUGCGUGUAUUUGGUGCUUCAUUUUUUACGAAGAGACUAUCUUUGUACUCUGCCUUAAGCAUUAAUAAAAGUUUUUGCUCAAUCUUCGCCCAUAGACGUAGGCCGGUGACCAAACCACAUAAAUUUCGAUAUGCUUUUUCUUUUUCUUUUCUUGCAUUAAUUAUUUCUCUGAAUUUAUUUUUUACCAUUUUGAUUUUAACAUCUAACAAAUAUUCUUUUCCUGGAUGUCGCUAUAAUGACUCUUGGAAUUGAGUCAAUUGGUAGAAUGAUGACUAAUUUGAUCCCGAGGAGUAUCAUGUGUAUCCAUAGUAUAUACAAAAAAACCUAUUCAAAAUUCUUCCUUUUAUUAAACCUACUUAUCACCUAUCGCACAAUAUUCUAUAACUUUCUUUCAAGCAAAUCAAAAUUAUGGUUCGGUUGGAUUGGAUGCUAACGAUGAUGACGACAACGAGAAAGAGGGAGACGGUCGAGGGAAUCAGAGACGAGAAGCUACCAAACACUAAGUGGUCAAGGGCAAAAAAAGUACCUAGAAGCUAAGAUACCCUAGACGUAGGAAUGUUGAAUAAGUAGAAGCAUAAGUUAAUAAUUGAGAUCCAAAUUGCCAAUAAUUCAUUAGUGAAAGUUACAUAGAGAUUACGUGAACUAUAUCACAUGUCUAUGUAUUGAUUUUACACCUAUAUGUUUAUACUAUACAGUUAGUUAGGCCUCAAUUGUUCAGUCGUUUCUUGAAGAUAUCUAAAUUGCCAAUAAUUCAUCAGGAAAAGUUGUAUAGAAUUUAUAUGAACUAUAUAGCACGUUUCUGUGCAUUGAUUUUACACCUAUAUGCUUAUACUAUGCAGUUAUUUAGGUCUCAAUUAUUCAAUCGCUUCUUGAAGAGAAGCCAGGAUAAUUUUUGACGUACAUGCGGACCUGGGGUAUCAAACUGUAAUUUGUUUAUUAUGGUGAAGCAUCUACCUGGAUUUAAGAUGCUUUGUGAAUAGUUUGAGUGUAUGGUAAUGAAAUCUUUUCUUUCUGCUAGCACUCCUUAACAACUUCGUGCUAAUAUUUUCUUACGUGAUGUUGUAUUUGUAAAGUUGAAUUUUUAUAAAUUUUACAGCUUUCUGUGAUUUAUAUUUGUUCAAAUAGUGUUGGGGAGCUUUCCUUUUAUUGUGAUUAAAUGUUGCUUUUUGGAGGCAUAGUAGCAUAACUCUUUUGUCCCUUUAUGAUCUGUUAACAAAAAAUUGGGAAAUAUAAAUGGUAAUUUGAAUUGAAUAGAUUAUUCUCUUUGUAUAUUGAAAGUAUUUGGUUUAGCAAGUUGUUGGCAGAACAAAGGGCAAUGGCUGCAGUUGCGUAGCGCCCCUUGACCAAUGCUGGUUCUCAAAAUCAUACCACCGCUCUUCAUGAUUCGGUUUGAUCUGGUGCCCCUACAUUCACUUUAAUGUAAUUGACUUUAUACUUCUAUGUUAUUCUUGAAAUUCCAAUUGCUAAAUUUAGCCUUUUAAGUUUAUUAUUUGUAUUUCUGCUAUUUGAAUAUUGAUGACGAUUGUUUUUUUUAGGCAUAUGUUGCAUGAUCUGUAGUGCUAACCCAAGAAAGAACCAAGUUCUAACCUAAUUCAAGAAUUUUUUUUUCCCUCCUUUUUCCUUGUUGUGAUAUAACACAUAGUGCCAUAAAAGCUCAUUAAAUUUUAGUGCAUCUUUUGUUAUCUAAGACUUUUAAGUUGUAUAUUGUGUUUAUCACUGACUAUUUUUUACUUUCUCUAAAUACAACAUGCCAUAACAUUUUUGUUUUUUAUUUUUAUUUAUUUGUUUGUCCUCUUUGAGUCAUUACCAUGAUAAGCUCUCUUUUCAUAACCCAAGUGUAUAUUCUAACCGUUGUAGUGUUACCAUCUUUUGCAAAAUUUUCAAAUAGAACAUCACAAUUUGAAUUUGGCAUAUGUUUCUCCUAUAAAAUUGGCAUGUUGUAUAUGCAUUCGGCUGAAAAUUUUUUUUUUCUUUAUCUAAUACAAUCAUUCAUUCAUAUAGGGAGGGAACCAUUAAGAGGCCAGGGGACCAUUUGACCCUUUGGUUUCUGAAAAAUUACACAAGUCUUUUCAGGCUUUUUUCUAAGUCCAAUUAUAUAGGGAGUUUUGAGCAAAAACAUAUUUCAUAUCAAUUCUCUAUUAAUACUGAUUAUGUAAGGAUGUUUACAAAAUUAGAUUUAUAUAAUGAUCUAAAAAGGUCUCCGUUUUUUUGAAGGAAUAAGUAUAUAAUUUAUAUAAGAAAAUUUAAAUCUUGGAUUCCCUUGAUUUGUUGGAUAUUAUUUUUUAUUGUAUUUUCUUAUCUAAAUUUUCUUCUCCUUUCAAAUAGUAUAAAUUUUGUUACUAUUCAACUUAGUAUAUUAGCACGCUUUUUUGCUUUAAGCAUUUUAUUACUAAUCGACUUCAGUGGAUAAGUAUAUUUAGACUUUUGUUGGAAGCUAAUUCGUUUGCACUAUUUUGGUUUUCAAAAUAAUAACAAGUUUUUGAUACAAUAGUUAGAUAUCAAUUUUACUUUAUCAGUGUCUAUCCGCUGCAACGCGCGGGUUACUACACUAGUAUAUAUUAAACCCCAUUAUUUUAUCCACGUGGCAUCAUUUCCUUCAAUUAGAAAACUGUGGGACCCACCUGUCAUUAUUUCUAACUCAUUGCCAGUUGAUCGUCCUGCUUUAUAUUAAACCGGUUUAAUAUUUCCCUAAAUUAAAGGAAUGUGGGCCCUACCUGUCAUUGUUUCUUCUCUUUUUUCUUUGAUGAAUUCAUUGAUCUUCCCGAUUUUACAUUGAACCGCGGGUCCCCUUUAAUGUUGAUUGGGCCCGCUUUCUUUUAGAACCUUCACCGGUUGAUCUUCCCACUUUACAUUCAACCGGUUUAAUAAUUCCCUAAAUUAAAGGAACAUGGGCCUCACCUGUCAUUAUUUCUUCUCUUUUUCCUAUGAUGAAUCUAUUGAUCUUUCCAAUUUUACAUUGAACCGUGGGUCUCCUUUAAUGUUGAUUAAGGCCCGCUUUCUUCCACCUAUUAGUUUUUACCUAUUCAUUUAUUUUCAAUUCACUUAUGGGAAGAUAAACCGGCCACUAAUUUUUUUCCAUUGAAUAAGUCUAUUUUCUCAUUGAUCAAACAAGUUCACGCAUCCCUAAACCUCGGUUCGCCGUCCUAGAGUUGUUGCUCCAACUGGGUUCGAUCCUUCUUCCGUCCUUAUAGUUUCGGAUUGCGGCGCAUCGUUCAUGUUUUCUUCUCUUGCCAAAAAAAGGUUCUGAUUUAUUGUCUUCUCUGCUUCUCCGAUCUUCCGCUGCAUCGGAUUUCUAUAUUCAUUGAAUCCGAAUAAUUGUUUUACAGUCAUUCCAUUAUCUUUUGUUGGCUAUAUAAUAGAUCAUUCAUCAAUUUUUCUAUGCAGCAAAUGUACUCUAUUCCGGAUGUUUCACUUGGAUCAUGGUUGACUGGAUUAGAUGCCGAGCAUAUUGAAGAUUGAAGAUCAUGCUGCCGUGCUCACUUGGAUAUGAUUCUUUAUUUCCUCUUCUUUGUCUUAUAUAUCAACUUCCGAUAAUAUUAUUCUAGAUAUUCCAUAAAAUAUCAAUAGUUUUAUUUAUCUAUUUAUGCUAAUCAUUGAACUCACGAUUCUCCAAUCAUUCCUAAAAUCUGAUUAUUUACUUAUUUAUUCAUUUUUUUGAAGCCGUGUCAGAAUCAGUUUAAUGGAAAGAAGGGAGUAGAAAUGAGUGAAAAAUGGCUUUGUAUAACCAGCUACUGGUAUAUUUUUUUUUUCAUACUUCUUUUGGUACUUUUUUAAAUUAGUUCACUUAUAUCUAUUGUUUGGCCGUUUUAAUCCCUAAAUCUUAAAGUUAGCUAUAAUAAUAUUUACCUGCCGCAUCGCGCGGGUUAGCACACUAAUAUGUAUAUAUAUAUGUGGUGAAAGAGCCGAGUCAAGUGAGAACAAAUAAUGAAGAAUUGUAUCCUUCACCUAAAUAAAGCAACUUAUUUCUAAUUGCAUUAUGAUCCAGCUUAGGGUUUAGGCUUUUAAGUAUCUAAUUUGUUUAAACUUUUGACUUUAUGCUCUUUAUCUAAAUAAAGCAACUUAUUUACAAUUGCACUAUGUUCCAAUGUUUGGCUAUCUAAUUUAUUUAAGCCUUUUAUUUUAUUCUCUUCUCAUUGUUUUUUAAUGUAUAACAACAAUAAAAAAUUCCCGUGGCGAAGUGCGGGUUCUUUGCUAGUGUGCAAUAUAUGCAAGUCUCAAAGAGUAAAGUAAAAGAAAAUUCCUAAGUCGCAAUAUCGGAAUAGCACAUGCACUAUCCAUACAUUUUAUCUAAAAUUGUUUGCAAGGUUCAAUUCUUUUGUUAAGCUUUAGAUGGCCAGACUCAAAAUUUGUAUAAUGUGGAUUAAUGGGAGAGAUGGUUUGCUGAGUUCACCUAUGAAGUUUUGAAUUCCGUGUCGACUUUUAUACAAUCACGGUAUCUGUGCCGGCUUUUGAUGCCCCUCGAGAUAGAAUCUCGGGUAAAAUUUAUAAACAGUCACUAUGCAAUCCCAAUAUUGUUAUUUAAUCUUGAAAUUUUACACACAUAGCACUUUUCUUUGUUAGGCAAUAUUUGAAAAUAUUUUGGUCACGUGGAAUGUUGUUUUUAUAAAUGAUUGAUGUAUUCGCAAAUAUAUGUAUAUAAUAUUUUUGUACUGCAUGAAUGAAAUAGCCCUGAAACUGCUAUAUUGCAAAUGUCAGCAUAUCACUAAUUUACGAAUAUUAUAUUUUGGGUAUCGCAGCAAUUGGUUGAGAUAUUUGGGUAUCGCAGCAAUUGGUUGAGAUAUAUACUAAGAUAUUGGUAAAUAUCACAACUAUCCUUUUGCAUAAAAUAGUAGUAUUAAUCAUUUUCAUUUGGAAUUUGUUAUAAAAUUAUUUCUUAAAUUUAUAUACAGUAAUUUUAUGGAUUGUCGUCAAAAUGCAUUAUUUCCAAAUAUUUCAACUAAUUGCUCGUAUUUUCAACAAAAAAAAAACAGAGUUAAUAUUUACAAUUGAAAUUCUCUUUUUUGGUAUAUUUCUUAUUAUCUUUUAUCAUAAAAAAAAUCUAACACUUAAUAGUGCUUUAAAUAAACUAAACUAAUUAAAUUUUCUUUCCACAAAUGUAUCAUGUUAUUAGAAAGCUUUUUUUUUUUUUUCAAUUAUAACCAGAAACUAAAUUUUAAUAUUUUAAAAAUUUAGGAUCGACCUUCCCUAGCACAAGUACCAAAGAUAUUGGUUGUUGGUACCUGAGAUUCCAAGUUUGAAUCUUAGUUGAUUCACAUUUCUAGCUAAGUUUGUUUCUAAAUAAAGUAAAUGAAACGGGGUAACAUACUACCUAUCUCUCAAAAAAAAAUUUACAAAUUUAGGGACCAAAUAAAAAAUAUAGGACCAAUUCGUAAAUAUCGGCCUAGAAUAGGAACGAUCCACAAAUUUUACCUUAAAAUAGGAUAGUACGUGUGAAACCGACACGGCGAAACCACGGAACCCUAACCCCAUCGUCCCCGACCCCCUUCUUUUCCCUCUUCCUCCUCCACCCUGUCCAUCCUCUUUCUCCUUCUCCAUCUCCUUCAAUGGCGUCUGCGGCGGAGCCGCCGCCGAAGAAGCGGAGGAUCUUCGACGCCACUGCGGAUCCGCCGCCGCCGCCGCCGCCGCCGCCGUCGCAGGAGGAGAUCCUUCGGAAGAGAAGGAACAAGGAGGAGAUCCGGAGCCUUUUCGAGCUGUAUCGCCGCAUCCAGCUAUGCGUCGCCAAGAAGGACCGCACUCUCAUGCCCGAUCUCGAACAAGCCUACCUCUCCCUCAUCACCGCUUCUAGAGGUUUCGAUUCCUUCAAUCCUUACCCUAGCCGAUUCUGUACAAAUGCUGUACAAAGUGUCGGGUGCUAAUAAUUUUAGUUUCUGAUCAAAAUUUAGCUUCCUGAGCUUUCGAUUUCUUGUAUUUUUACCCUACUUGAAGCUUCAGUGCACAAUACUAAUCAAGCUUCUGUCACAAAAUCUGUUCUGUUAAUAAUUUAGUUACUAGCAUUUCAUUUGAAGUUCUUGGAAGUAUUUACUUAGAUUCUUUUUCUUUUUUUUUUUUUUUUUUUCAUAUGCUUCUUUUCUUAUAUUAUUAGUUGCUUUCUGUAUGACAAUCAUCUCUACUGCACAAGUUUAGGUACUUAACAAAAUUUAGUUCCAGAAAAGUUUGUGUUUGUUUUAUUUUGCGUAAUUGAUGUAGUAUAGGAUGAUCCUGAUCACAUGUUGACUAUCAGAUCUGUGAUUUUAAUCAUCUGGUUAGUUCUCAUAAAAGUUCAGUAGAUUUUUCUUUUUUUGGGCAUAAGUAUCAUUGCUCUUGUAUGAAUCUCUUCUUUUGUAUGGUAUCCAUAUCUUCUAAUAUGGUAUCCAUCUCUUCUGUUAGAAUUUAGUUACUGAUUAAAUAUU